rnacentral:misc_RNA from 1 species
GGCCAGCCGUAGGGAUGUGGGGGAGUAGAGCACAGAGCCGUCCUCUAUGUCCCCUCUGCUCAGGAGCCCUUUCCAA